rnacentral:lncRNA from 1 species
GCACAUGUCCUUUCAUCUUUUUUCAGUUAUUCUUUUGAUCCUUUAUUCCUGUUUGUUUGUAGCUUUUUAAUUUCCUUUUAAGUGAUUCUGUGAGUGCCUUAUCACUGAAUCUUAGGUGAAUUAGAAGAAUUGAGUUCAAAAGUAAGAUAGUGGUUUCUUUUCUCUUAGAAGCCUAUAGCAAUCUAGUAGGUCUCAUCCUGGAUGGUUACAUUUAAGCCUCAAGUUCAUCCUGUGAGGUUUUAGUUCAUAUCUGCUAAUUAGACUUCUAGAUAUUUGAGAAAAUCCCAUCUUUUUUCUAAGUUUUGCUUUGGUUAAUUAUUCAUCAUCAAUUUUGAAGAGUAGAUGUCAAUUUUGAUGAUGGCCAUAAAGAGACCUAUCAAUGUGGCAUAUAUGUUUUUCUUGAUUCUGGGUAAAUCUCUGUAAUCAAUCUGAUGUUGGUUACACAUUUAACUGGUAUUAUUUUUCUUAGGCCCACUUAUCACACCAUGGUAUAAGUCCCAGUUAAAAAAUUGCUUAACUUUUACAAAACCUAACUGCUAGUCUAUUAUGUUGUAUAAGGCUAUAAGCUAAUAGACCCUGAUCAUUGUUGAAUAUUUUGAACUUAUCUGAAGGACAUUGAAUGCUGGUUGUGCUGGGUCACUUUUGCUUGUCUAUACAUUUAUUACCUACACUAGCUACACAAGUCUGCUUUUUCUUCGUUACAUCUGAGUGCUUCCCGUUGCUUAGGAAAAGACAUGAAAAUGAUGGUAUGAUUUUUCUUACCACCAUUGCUUAACUUUUACAAAACCUAACUGCUAGUCUAUUAUGUUGUAUAAGCUAAUAGAUGCUGAUCAUUGUUGAAUAUUUUGAACUUAUCUGAAGGACAUUGAAUGCUGGUUGUGCUGGGUCACUUUUGCUUGCCUAUACAUUUAUUACCUACACUAGCUACACAAGUCUUCUUUUUCUUCAUUACAUCUGAGUGCUUCACAUUGCUUAGGAAAAGACAUGAAAAUGGUAAAAUAAGGCUUUUCUUAGGCUUUGCAUCACACCUUGAAGAAAUUUAUUUUUCAUACAUGGAACUGAUUUUUAUAUAUAGAACUACUUACAUCUUUCAACUUUAUAUUAAGGUAUCAUUAUGCUUUGAGCCACUUGCAUGAGCUCGUUGAUUUCUCAAUAUGGUCAGAGAUUCUACACAUCAUUUGUAAGAAACUGAAAAUGUGCGAGUCUUCACAUAUCAAAGCCUCCUAAGAGUUUGCAUGCAAUCUUGCUUAAUCAUGAAAGUCUACAAAAUUUGUAAUCCAGAUUUGUUGCUUAUCACUACAUGGAUUGUUCACUUAAUUGUGUUUGUCACUCUGUUUGUCAUUAAGCCUGUAAAUCAUGCUUUGGAUGAUGAGAGACCAAGGAUUCCUAUUUCAUGACAUGGGACAAUACCAGUUCUUUGGCAGACCUGUUUGUAUUGGCCUGCUUGUUUUCCUGUGGUACAGGCCUAUUAUUAUGAGUAUAAACCAAUCACACUAGCACAGGUGGGCCUACACAGUUGACAUGGCAUCAGAUCCCUUGUCAAUUCUGUAAACUCAGUACUCUAAUAGGUUAACACCAGGGCCUGAGUGACCCAUAAGAAAGCUUGGGUGUCGGUUAUAAAGUUUGGGGAAACUUUUACCAUGACAAGCAAAAUGUCAUUGUAUUGUAGUGUAGGACUGUGGAGCUGCCGAAAUGUGGAUCUAAAUUUGCUCAGGUGCAAGGUUGUGGUUCUGUGACAGCUGAGGAAUGUUCAUGUACCUGCAAUAAAUUUUAUGAUUCUGAAGUAAUCUUGCUUGUGUACCAUAAUUAUGCUUUUCUACUUUCUGUUCUAGCAUUAUCCUGGCUCCCCUCUAAACUGCAGUACUAAGCAGUGGCUAUUUUGACAUAUCCUGAUUUCAGAGAUUCAUAAAUCAUCUUUUGGGCUUGUAUAUUGUGUUUUCUGAAAUUUCCCAUGAAUCCUGAUAUACAGAAUUCUUUUCAGCAUUCUUUGUAAAACAUCUCAAUCAGAAAAUUGCGAUGUGCUGAGUAAUCUACCACCUAUGAGAAAGUCACUGAUGUUUUCUCUAUUCAUUUUUAGAAUAUACUCAUGUAUGCUGCUCUUGCUGUCUCAGAUUAAUUUGACAGUUAACAUGUAUAAUACUUCUUAAUUCAGUUUUUGGAUUGACCAGGAA